rnacentral:rRNA from 1 species
UACGUAGGGGGCUAGCGUUAUCCGGAAUUACUGGGCGUAAAGGGUGCGUAGGUGGUUUCUUAAGUCAGAGGUGAAAGGCUACGGCUCAACCGUAGUAAGCCUUUGAAACUGGGAAACUUGAGUGCAGGAGAGGAGAGUGGAAUUCCUAGUGUAGCGGUGGAAUGCGUAGAUAUUAGGAGGAACACCCGUGGCGAAGGCGGCUCUCUGGGACGGUACUGACGCUGAGACGCGAAAGCGUGGGGAGCGAACAGG